rnacentral:lncRNA from 1 species
UGUGCCUCAGUAUCACCAGGGUGCUGUCAGGACCAGGGACAGAUCAGGAGGUGAAGGAAAUGUUUGCUUCAUGAGAAAAUGAGAGGGGGCUGCAAACUCCAAGACCCAGGAGUGCCUCUCCAUGGCUUCACACAUAUGUCCUACGGGUGGAGAUGGGGCUUGCUGAAGCAGGUUACUCCAAAGCACCUGCCACCUCAAGGGACUGAGCUAUGAAACCGUGACAAGUGCAUGGAGCAGCUAUUUGAGCACCAGGAAAGGAAACGAUACGCAGCAGUUUGGGAUGACCCCAGCAGAUGAAAUACAACAGCCCAGAGCAAAGGGGAGAUAAAGGGGACACCUGUGACCUCAGGGAGGACACUGCACAUGGCAGGGACACCAUUUUAGCACAACUGGGUGUGUGAGGAGAGGGCACUGUGAGAAGUCAAGUGCCUGGAGCUGUGGCAGAGAAAGAGGCAGCAUCUGCAAGAGCUGAAGGUGUGAGAUCAUGGUCACUGGCUCCUGCUGCAUGUCAGCGUCUCCCUGUCACCCAGGCCCGCCCCAUCGCCAGGUGGCUUUGCCAGGUAACUCUCUGCUUCCCCCUGGUGGCCGCUCCACACUGUGGGCUGGGGGCUCAGGGACUUCCUGGGUCUAGGUGUGGAUUCAGAACCUGCUGUUCAGGUCCCUGAUGCCCUGAUCCGAGGACUGCUGGUCCCAGGGGAGGAACACCUCUUCUCUGUGUGGCCCCUGCCUGACUCAAGAUCAGGUACAAGGGGCUCAGC